GAGCUUGCUUCAGUAGCACAUAUACUAAAAUUAGAACCAUACAAAAGAGAUUAGCAUGGCUUCUGUACAAGAAUAACAUGCAAAUUCAUGAAGCAUUCCAUAUUUUU
ensembl:snRNA U6 U6 spliceosomal RNA